UACGGGGGGGGCAAGCGUUGUUCGGAAUUACUGGGCGUAAAGGGCUCGUAGGUGGCCAACUAAGUCGGACGUGAAAUCCCUCGGCUUAACCGGGGAACUGCGUCUGAUACUGGAUGGCUUGAGUUUGGGAGAGGGAUGCGGAAUUCCAGGUGUAGCGGUGAAAUGCGUAGAUAUCUGGAGGAACACCGGUGGCGAAGGCGGCAUCCUGGACCAACACUGACGCUGAGGAGCGAAAGCCAGGGGAGCAAAGCGGG
rnacentral:rRNA from 1 species